rnacentral:rRNA from 1 species
CCUACGGGAGGCAGCAGUAGGGAAUAUUGCUCAAUGGGGGAAACCCUGAAGCAGCAACGCCGCGUGGAGGAUGAAGGUUUUCGGAUUGUAAACUCCUUUUGUUAGAGAGGAUAAUGACGGUAUCUCACGAUUAAGCACCGGCUAACUCCGUGCUACCAGCAGCGGUAAUACGGAGGGUGCAAGCGUUACACGGAGCCACUGGGUGUAAAGGGGGGGUAGGCGGGAUAGCAAAUCAGAUGUGAAAACCAAUGGCUUAACCCAAGAACUGCAUUUGAAACUGUUAUUCUUGAGUAUGGGAGAGGUAGGUGGAAUUCUGUGUGUAGGGGUAAAAUCCGUAGAGAUAAAGAGGAAUACUCGUUGCGAAGGCGACCUGCUAGAACAUAACUGACGCUGAUGCGCGAAAGCGUGGGGAGCAAACAGGAUUAGAUACCCUAGUAGUC